CUGACGCUUGAUGGACGGGCCGUGGGGAAAUGGGGAAAGGUCGAAGAACAUAUCCGCGACAGACACUUUUGGCCAGGCACCCACUUCAAAGGAGCUCUUAAUGGAAGAGCCGGGUCUGGAUUGCAGCCGCAGCCUGUGUCCCAAACUCAUUCCGCAAACUACGUCGAUGGCAGCUUUAUAUGUUCAAACAUAAAUCAUGCAUGAAUGUGGCAGAAAAGUGAUUCCAGUGGACUGGGAGCGGAGCCACUGGCGCACACAACUUUGUGCAAACUUCGAGGAACAACAGGCGGCGGCAAAUUGCCCAACAAAUCAAUCAAAUACAUCUGACAGAUCCUGGAGCAGUCGAGGCCAUGUUUGGAUGCUCCACGGGACAUGUAAAUAAAAGCGAGCUGAAAACGGCUGCCAUUAAAGUAGCUUGUCGAAUGGAGCGGCCAACGCCGAUGACCGGACAUGAUGGCCAAUGAUGCGGUUGGAUUAUUUGGGCCUCGAUCAAAGUUUCAAGUUGCGAAGUGAAGAGUCCCCCGAUGAAAUAUUCUUCCCCAAACCUGAGCCUUCAA